GCUCGCAUGCGAGCGGGCCGCGGUUACAGACACCGGGGCCCAGCCCGGGCCCGGCCGUGAGGUGUCCGCUCGCGCCCCGCGACCGCUAACAGCCAGCUCGCACCGCGGGCCGCAGAGCGGCCUCGCCGCGGCCCGGGCCCGCUCACCCCGGCAACAACCCCCCGCCGCGGUGCCUCCGCUCGCUCCGGCUCAGCCUCCAUCCGCCGCCACCGCCGCCGGUGCUUCCGGCGGACAGCCCGCCCCAGCAACCGCCACCCUCAGCGGCGGCGCCGCCGGCCCGCACCACCCCGCGAGUCCGGCCCGCGCCGGGCCUGUCCCUUUAAACACUGCGCCCGCCCCGGGUACCAUCCACACGGAACGCGGCUGUGCCCGUGGGCGCCCGAACUCUCCCGGCCCCUCGGGGCAGCCCUGCGCCCGGGGCCUGGCCCCGGAGCUAGAGGCAGCGGGCAGGCUGCUCUCCUCAUAAAGACUGGCUCAUCACUGGCUGGGUGUUCUGCCAAGCAGCCGGCGAUGAAUUACAACGCUCGGUGCUCCUGGUAGCCAUAUAAAUAUCCAGCCCCGUUAGCAGUCUUAAAAUCUUGGCCUGACUAACAGUGGCAGCGGUGCUACAGUUUCGCAGCACAAUGCAUCAUCUCUCAAACACUGCUUUCCAGACGGGACAGCUGGUCCCCAGAGCGCUCAGUGGAGGGAUGAAAUGUAAGCUCAGCGAUCAUUACACAUACUCCUCUCCAGCUAAGUUGUGCAGAGAUUUCCACUGAGCUGCAUAAAACGACCCCUGGUCCCUUUCUUGGCUGGACAGAUGUAUAGAUUAAUUGUAAGUAGAUCUGGGUUUAGCUCCACAUGUUAAAUAAACAUUCCUUUCUCCA